ACAGCAGCGCAGUCAUGACUCAGUGAUCAUCAGUACGGUGUGUUUCCCAAUGUAGUGACCGAUUAAUUAGUGGCGAAACAUAUAGCAAAAGAUCUUGAUCAACUAAAGCAAUCUAAUCAUCUGAAGUCAGUUCUGCUGCACAAUAAAGGCUUGCUGGUUCCCUUUAAGAGUGAGACCUUAAGCCUGAUUAUGUAACGUUCCCGAAAACCUUCACCCGGCUGGGGUUUUGUUUGGUUGUUUUCUCUGCUGAACGCCCGGGACGUCCCUCUGAGCAAACAACGCAAUCACCACAGACAAUUUCACAGACUUAGACAAGCUUUUGUAUGUCUUUACUUGAUGGUGAUAACAUAAGUGACCAUGAUAUAUAAUGCUGUCCUAUUUAUCUCAGUGAUGAGUGGGCACAUCUACAGAUUCACAGAUAAAGAAGGAGACUCUAUUAAUACCAGAUCUGCAAGACACAUGAAGCACAUCCAAAGCAGUACUGUCAGUCUCCUGUCAUCUCAAUAAGUGAAAGAACAACAUAAAAAUAUCAAAAAAUCAUCCCCUGGGACAGCUGAUCUAUGCUGAUAUGAUCUUGCUCAACAAGUUGCUUCAAAGAAGUGGGCUUGCAAUUGCUGAAUCAACAGGUGUAAAAUGCAAUCACAAAAAGCAGCAAAUAAGAUUAGAACACCUAUUAAAAAUAGAUGUGCAAAGCUGGGUAAUGAGAAGUAACAAACAGUAAUAGUGCAUUGUACUUCUGUGAAUUAAAAAAGGAAAAUGCGGAAGUGGGCUUUGUUUUUGCAUGGAUGCAUGGCUAAAAACGGCCCAGCGUCCAGCCAAUCACAAGAGCUUUAAACGAACCAAUCACACGAGUCCCACUAAAAUGCAACCACUCACACGAGAGCAGGGACUCUCAGCCAAUCACCCACGAGCUCUAAUACCCACGUGACUUUAGCGUUUCAGAAAACUGUGUGACAUCAGCUUUGUUUACUCACAGAAGAGAAGCGAAGGGAAGAGCUCGUGCAGCAAGUGUCUAUAUUCUAACAAACAUGGC